UAGGGAAUCUUCGGCAAUGGGGGCAACCCUGACCGAGCAACGCCGCGUGAGUGAAGAAGGUUUUCGGAUUCGUAAAGCUCUGUUGUAAGAGAAGAACGUGUGUGAGAGUGGAAAGUUCACACAGUGACGGUAACUUACCAGAAAGGGACGGCUAACUACGUGCCAG
rnacentral:rRNA from 1 species